UAAGAGGGUGGCCUUACUACACUGAAACUCACCCUUAAACAUGUGCUUUUUGAGAGUGUGUGUGUGUGUGUGUGUGUGUGUGUGUGUGUGUGUGUGUGUGUGUGUGUGUGUGUGUGUGUGUGUGUUUACGUAAGCGGGUGUGUCAGCCCCACAGAGGAAAACUGGUUUCUACAUCUGACCUCCCUCUAACUUUGUGUUGCAAAACAAACACACACACUGUGUUUACUGCACAUGACAAUGAUACUAGCUGACUUGUGAACAAGGAAGUAAGCGUCAGUGUACUGCUUGUGCUGUACCCUGAUAAACUGCCUGCAUGCUUGGAAGCACAGGGCACAUGUCAACAUCAACAUAACAGCUAACAUACCUCCCCAGAUAGAACAGAUGAGUUUGAAGGUGGAUGUGAUAGUGUUUUUAUGUAAACAGAAUUAUUAAGGCCUAGGUGCCAGUGGAAAAGGCCUAGGUGCCAGGGGAAAGGACUAGGUGCCAGGGAGAAAAAGCCUAGGUGCCAGGGAGAAAAAGCCUAGGUGCCAGGGGGAAAAGGCCUAGGUGCCAGGGGGAAAAAAGGCCUAGGUGCCAGGGGGAAAAAAGGCCUAGGUGCCAGGGGG
rnacentral:lncRNA from 1 species